AUUGAACGCUGGCGGAAUGCUUUACACGUGCAAGUCGAACGGCAGCACGGAGAGCCUGCUCUCUGGUGGCGAGUGGCGAACGGGUGAGUAAUAUAUCGGAACGUGUCCAAUAAUGGGGGAUAACGAGUCGAAAGAUUCGCUAAUACCGCAUACGCCCUACGGGGGAAAGCAGGGGAUCGUAAGACCUUGCGUUAAUGGAGCGGCCGAUAUCUGAUUAGCUAGUUGGUGAGGUAAAGGCUCACCAAGGCGACGAUCAGUAGCUGGUUUGAGAGAACGACCGGCCACACUGGAACUGAGACACGGUCCAGACUCCUACGGGAGGCAGCAGUGGGGAAUUUUGGACAAUGGGGGCAACCCUGAUCCAGCCAUUCCGCGUGAGUGAAGAAGGCCUUCGGGUUGUAAAGCUCUUUCGCAAGGGAAGAAAACUUAUGAUCGAAUAAAUCAUGAGGUUGACGGUACCUUGAUAAGAAGCACCGGUUAACUACGUGCCAGCCGCCGCUGUAA
rnacentral:rRNA from 1 species